GUCUGCAUAUCUUAAGUUUAAAGUGCUGAGUUCUUACCUCAGUGAUGUAUUGUUACUGUAGGCU
rnacentral:tRNA from 1 species